AGACUUUGUAACGAGCAAGCUCAGUUAGAGAGGCAGAAGGAGCAGGAGGUUAUGUAAAAUUUUAACUUUUCCUCUUCACCUCCUCUUCCAUUUCUCCACACUGGGAACAUUCUUCCUGACCAGUUUCACACCUGCCAAAGACUUCAAUUACUGCCUUCAUUAAUGUAAGAUGACAAAUCCCUUGAGGACAUAAACUGUUCUUGGUCACCGAGACCCUGGCACAUAACAGUUGCUGCAUGUGAUGGUUAAUUUUACGUGUCAGCUUGACUAGGCUAAGGGAUACCCAGAUAGCUGGAGGCCCUUGCUGUUUUGUGUAUCCUUUAAAUUUUGGACAUUCCACAUAUUGCGUAACUAAGAGAAGGAGAAAUAUCAUGUGACAUCCCCUACAUGUGAAAUCUAAAAAGAAAUGAUACAAAUGAACUUACUUACAAAACAGAAAGAGACUCACAGACUUAAAGAAUGAACCUAUGGUUGCCAAGGGAAAUGGAUAGUUUCGAAUGGACAGGUACACACUGCUAUAUUCAAAAUGGAUAACCAACAAGGACCUACUGUAUAGCAAAUAAAUAAAUAAAUAAAAUUCACAAAUCAACAUACAUUUUCAUAAAAUGAGAAAUGUAUGCUUAACAUCAUGUAUCAUUCAAGGCCUUGAAAAUAAAAACUAUCAUACCAAAAAAAAGUUUUCUUCAACAUUCUAGAGGGUGUAUAAUGAUAUCACAGUUCUAUGUGGCAUUUCCCUGAUGACCAACUAUGUUGAAACCUUUUCAUGUGUUUAAG
ensembl:lncRNA